AUUGAACGCUGGCGGCAGGCCUAACACAUGCAAGUCGAGCGAGCGGCGGACGGGUGAGUAAUGUAUGGGGACUGCCCGAUAGAGGGGGAUAACUACUGGAAACGGUGGCUAAUACCGCAUACUAUCGGAUAACCCAUAUGGGAUUAGCUAGUGGGUGGGGUAAAGGCUCACCUAGGCGACGAUCUAUAGCUGGUCUGAGAGGAUGAUCGGCCACACUGGACCGGAGACACGGCCCAGACUCCGACGGAGGCAGCAGUGGGGAAUAUUGCACAAUGGGCGCAAGCCUGAUGCAGCCAUGCCGCGUGUAUGAAGAAGGCCUUAGGGUUGUAAAGUACUUUCAGCGGGGAGGCGUUACCCGCAGAAGAAGCACCGGCUAACUCCGUGCCAGCAGCCGCGGUAAUUC
rnacentral:rRNA from 1 species